ensembl:lncRNA
ACUGUCACAAGGCUUUCAGGGUUACUGUGAUAGAUGUGCACAGACAACACACAGUAAUGACAGUAUGACGCGGUGACAGGAUGACAUGUGACUCGCCUCAGUCAGAGUGGCCUCAGUCAGAGUCUUGGUUUCCCCACCACACUGGCUGGCCCAUCUCCAGAGCUGUGGAGGGGAGUGGAAGUGGAAGUCCCAGCAGACAGCAUUUUCUCAUUCCCAUCAACACCAUUCUCAUCAACACCAUUCCCAUCAGCACCAUUCUCAUCAACACCAUUCUCAUCAGCACCAUUCUCAUCAACACCAUUCUCAUCAACACCAUUCUCAUCAGCACCAUUCUCAUCAACACCAUUCUCAUCAGCACCAUUCUCAUCAACACCAUUCUCAUCAACACCAUUCUCAUCAGCACCAUUCUCAUCAACACCAUUCUCAUCAACACCAUUCUCAUCAGCACCAUUCUCAUCAACACCAUUCUCAUCAACACCAUUCUCAUCAACACCAUUCUCAUGAACACCACUCUCAUCAACACCAUUCCCAUCAACACCAUUCUCAUCAGCACCACUGACUGUAAAGCAGCAGUACGGAUUUGCGCUAAAGAUAGCUAGUUUACUACCUAGGGCUACAAUAACCUCACAAACACCAACGCACCAACAACCGUAUAAUUGGCCACUGAUAGAUUACAUAGUGCACAGACUAGGCGGUGGGUGAGAAUGACACGUGAGAGGUGUUUUUUUUUUCAGCCCUUCACUUGGCUUAAGCCCCUUGAGACAAUUUGAUUGUUUUGGCGCUAUCUAAAUACAAUUGAAUUUAAUUGAAUUCACCAUAUACCAUCAAAAUGAAUUUGAAGAUGAUACCAAAACGAGUUGCCUAUAAAUGCAUACCUCAAAAACAACAAGUGUUGCAUACUGCUUUACUGUAAGAUUCCAGCACAGUAUCUAACCAGACUACACAUAUUACACACUCUAACCAAACAUAUUACCCAAUGCUAGCAUUUAGCAGAGUGUGUAUGUUGGCAGGAGGGAACACUGUAUGAGGUGUGUUUUGUUUUCAUUUUGUCAGUUGAGUUCUGAAACAGCUGAGUAACUAAAUUCACAACCCGUGCUUUUAUGUUGAGGAACAGCAGCAUUUGAUGUGGUUACAUAGAG